AAAUAGUUAUUUAUGCAACAAGUUGCAAAAUGAUGAUUUUUUCAGCACGAGUCGUACAUUUAUCCAACGAGGCUUGCCGAGUUGGAUAAAUACGACGAGUGCUGAAAAAAUCGAGUUUUGCAACGAGUUGCAUACAAAGUUUUUUGUAAUUACGAAAAAUACCCAUUCAGUGCGAUCUUUUCUAGAGCUACACAUGUAGGGACCACGUGCGCGUGCUCAUGCUUGUCGGCGUAUUUUUUUAUUUGAUCAGGUAGGCUCUGAUGUAGUAGGCGUCAACAAUGAUUGAGCUCCCGUUGUCAAACAUUUGUGCACAGGAAAAAGCAAAAGCAGAUUCAGCAGCUGCCUCUACACUUGAUUUGUAGUUCGAAUACGAAUUGAAAUCGUCCUGAUUCGGAUUCGAGCUGAUCAGUAGAUGUCGAGGCAGAGGCUAAAUCUACGGAAGGCAUUGUGAAAUUUUCCUGACGCGAAUGUAGGUGCAGAGAUCUCAAUGUGUAACAUGGAGUAACCUUGAUGACAUAUCUAAGCACCCAUCUCUCGGGGAUAGACCAUCGAUGCGAUAUGUUCACAAUAAAAUAAAAGCACGGAACGAGCUCACCAAACCCAUCUUUACCCUUAUUAUUGCCCAAAUUCAAGUUUUACAGAUGGCUCGUAAUCAACCAGACAUACCGAAUCUUGAAACAUGCCAACGGAAUUCCCUGUUUACUGACAAUUUUCCAAUGGAACAACCCAUUCAAGCAAUAUCAAAUACUAGUGUGCAUGCAUCGGCUCCUGCUACAACCGGCAACAGAUCAAGCGUCAACUCUUUCAUAGCCAGAAGCUACCGAAAGUUUGUUCAAAGUAAACAAACACUGGAAUUACCUUUAUCGAUUGCUUAUGUGUUGUUGAGUAGUUGUUAUUUGAGGUCUUAGGUUGCUAUAGCACCUAUAAACAGAAUAAAAUCGAAAUGAUGGAAUUCGACGAAAUUUCAAGAAAUUGACUCCAAAUAAUAAUUCAAGUUCAAGGCCCUAUGAAAUUGCGCCGUACGCAAACACACUCCGAAAAAUGACUUUCCAUCGCCAAAAAUGCUAAUUAUCUACCGAAAGCGUACAUAAAUCUUCAUUCGGUACCCACUCAGGUGCCAUGCUGCUCCUUCUUGUUCUUGCACCAUACUGCAGGAAAGAUAAACACAAUCAAAUUGGAAUUGAUGAUGUACACAGAAAACUGCUUGGCCGUGGACGUGAAUGUGGAGAUGGGCAAGUUCAAACGAAGCAAUAUGACAAAAGUUUUCCCUCAAGGUCGGCACGGGAUGCAACUUUACGACGGCUAGCUCAGUCUACCGGGGCAAAACUUUCUCAAUCAUAUUAUAUGGGCCUGCUGGUAGUCUCAGUAACGCAGACCGGUGGCGCCUUUGUAUUGUAUUUCUUUUUAGUUUGAGGAAUUUGCUGGAGUGAGGGAAGAGCAGACAACGGAUAAUGAACGUAUCCUGGCUGAAGUAACAUUUGAGAAUGCAAGAGAAAUGAACAUUGGUGCAAAUAAGUUAUAGUUCAGGUUAUAUGCAACAAAAUGUUGUAUAUGAAGGAAACAGGCCGACAGUGAUUUAAAAAAUGAAAAAAAAAAAAUCAAGGAUAAAUUGCGGUAAGGAAACUUAAAAUAAUUUGAUGAAGGAAUUGCGUUAGAAAUCCAAGGAUAAAUCCAGAAAACAAUACAGCAGAGACUCCCAGCUAUUCUGGAGAAACUUUCAGAGGAUCUUUGUAACGACUUCUUAAUUAUAUUUCAGAGAAAAUCCUUGAACAAAUCUCUGAAAGAAUUCCUUCGAUCACAUUGAUUCCUCACGUUAUUAUUCGAAGUUGUUAAUAUUCCGUUGCCAUUA